AAAAGCAUACUGUUCUAUAUAUUAUGUCUAUAAAAUACACAAGGCUUCAGAGUGUCGCUGAACUAUUUCUUUUUCAAGCUGUGUAAUCUCUGAGAUUUUUGCAAAGACCUCUUAAAAUGGGAAAUGAAAACACUCAUAUUGCCAACGCCUGCAGCAGUGAGGUGUGGAUUUUUUUUGAGUCAAGGAAGUUGCACCUUAAUGAGAUUGCAAUAGAGGCCACUAUCGAUGGAGGGGUCAAUGUGUCAGAUAAGGUGGAAGCCAAUGUAAAUGUGGGGACCAAGAUUACUGUGAUUCUUAAACCAGACACAAGGAUCCAGUUCUUACGAAUUCCCUCUAGGGAGGUAAUUAAUAUACCCCUGCAGGGCGACAUUUACGUGACCGCCAUCGCCAAACGUGGUGACAAAGAUGAGCUGAUGUGUUUCAACUUUAUGGUUCCAAGUGAUCGAUCCAUCAUCGUUAUUGACAGUGGGAUGGUUAAGAUGGCAAUGUAUGGGGCGCUGUGGAAAGAUGAGGAGGGAAAAUAUCACUGAACAUAAAAAGCCUGAUGAUCAAAUCCAGAGAAGAUAGCAGCCGCAACGAAAAGAAAAUCAUGAACUACACACUGUUAUACAGCUAUUUUCCAAACAUUUGAGCUUGCUAAUAUAUGGGUGGAGCAUUUAUUUUAAAGAAUUUAAACAUGAAAAUAAAAAAUAAAUAUAGUCUAUAA